AAUUUGUUAUGUUAGGUGAGGCUCCUAUAUAGACAUAUGCUGAUGCCCGGAAACAUCGAGAGAUGCCAAUGGGUCAACAGAUAUUACCGGAUUAAGGUUUUAUCUAAUGCAGCUGGAUUGGUUUAGUCUAAAGCUAUAUAGUGCUAAAACUCAGACGAUUAGAAAGUUUU
rnacentral:sRNA from 1 species